UAAUUUGAAAUUACAAGUGGCAGCCGCCUUGCUAAACCGCGGAUACACGAAACGCCAUACCGUGGUGAGCAAAUUGUUAUGCCGAAGGAAAACCGUCCAGGUUAUCGAACUCGUGUGGCCAGGUUUAUGGCACAAUCGAGGACACGUGUAACGAGGUGUGGAUUACCAAUUCAUUCUACCUCUUCCAAGACGUACGUGGUGAGCGUUUAAGAGAAAACC